rnacentral:rRNA from 1 species
AGCGAACGCUGGCGGCAUGCCUAACACAUGCAAGUCGCACGGGGGGGCUGCGGCCUCCCGGUGGCGGACGGGGGGGGAACGCGUAGGGUCCUGUCGAGGGGGGGGGGAUAACCGCGGGAAACUGCAGCGAAUGCCGCAUGACGCCGCGACGUCACAGCCGGGACCAAAGGCGGAAGCCGACCUCCGAGGGGCGUGCGUCGGAAUAGGCGGAUGGCGGGGUAGCGGCUCACCAAGGCGUCGACCCGUAACUGGGCCGAGAGGCUGAUCAGCCACACCGGGGCUGAGACACGGUCCGGACUCCUGCGGGAGGGGGGAGUGGGGAAUAUUGGACAAUGGGGGCAGGGCUGAAGCAGCAAUGGCGGGUGAGUGAAGAAGUUCGGCGGAUUGUGAAGCCCGUUAGGCGGGGGCGAUGGUGACGGUACCCGAAGAAGAAGCACCGGCUAACUUCGUG